GAAAUAGAGAUACCUGCUUUGACCGAAAAAAAAAAGAAUUAAUAGAGAUAGCUAUAAGCUUCGAAAGAGGUUCGAAUACUGGGAAGCCAAAGAUUCAUUUUAUUUUUCAGAAACGAAAAUAGAAGAGCAGAAGUGUGAGUAAAGUAACGGAAGUUGGUUAAUUAGGAAUAGAAGAGAUCUGAAGAAGAAGGCGAAGAUGGGUUGGGGUUGGGCAAUAUGGGAGGGAGUGGUAGCGGGGGGAUCUCUGGGACUGCUGGGUUGGGCCGGGUUGUGGUUCUUGAACCGAAGGCUGUACAAAGAGUACGAAGAGAAGAGGGUGUUAGUUCAGAUCAUUUUCAGCGUCGUCUUCGCCUUCUCUUGCAAUCUGUUGCAGCUCGUCCUCUUCGAGAUCAUCCCCCUUCUCUCCCAGAGGGCACGAUGGCUCAACUGGAAGCUCGAUUUGUUUUGCCUCAUACUCUUACUCGUUUUCAUGCUGCCUUACUACCAUUGUUUUCUCAUGCUUUGCAACAAUGGAUUCCGUAAAGAGCGCGCGGCUUUUGGAUCCGCCUUGUUCCUCCUCGCUUUCCUUUAUGCUUUCUGGCGCAUGGGAAUUCACUUCCCCAUGCCUUCCCCUGAUAAAGGCUUCUUCACAAUGCCCCAGCUGGUCAGUCGGAUUGGGGUCAUUGGCGUUACCGUCAUGGCUGUCUUGUCUGGCUUUGGAGCUGUCAAUUUGCCCUACAGUUAUUUAUCUCUCUUUAUCAGAGAGAUUGAGGAAGCCGAGAUCAAGUCCUUGGAAAGACAGCUAAUGCAAUCCAUCGAGACUUGUAUUACUAAGAAAAAGAAAAUCAUUCUUUCUCAGAUGGAGAUGGAAAGGAUUCAAGGAUCAGAAGAGAAAUUAAAGGCUAGAUCUUUCUUUAAAAGAAUUGUUGGCACUGUUGUGCGAUCUGUGCAAGAGGAUCAAAAGGAGCAAGAUAUCAAAAACAUGGAAGCAGAAGUGCAAUCAUUAGAAGAGCUUUCAAAGCAGCUAUUCCUGGAAAUAUAUGAGCUUCGUCAAGCAAAGGAGGCUGCUGCUUAUUCUCGUACCUGGAGAGGUCAUAUGCAGAAUCUACUUGGCUAUGCAUGUUCAAUCUACUGUGUAUAUAAAAUGAUUAAGUCUUUGCAGAGUGUUGUUUUCAAGGAGGCUGGCUCUGUGGAUCCUGUGACGAUGACAAUUAGCAUAUUUCUGCAGUUUUUUGACAUUGGCAUCAAUGCAGCAUUAUUAUCACAGUAUAUUUCACUCUUGUUCAUUGGAAUGUUGAUUGUUAUAUCAGUACGGGGAUUCUUGACAAAUUUGAUGAAGUUCUUUUUUGCAGUUUCCAGAGUUGGAAGUGGAUCUUCUAGCAAUGUCGUAUUGUUUCUGUCGGAAAUUAUGGGAAUGUACUUUGUGUCAUCUAUUCUUUUGAUCAGAAAAAGCUUGGCAACUGAGUACAGGAUGAUCAUAACAGAUGUUUUGGGUGGAGAUAUUCAAUUUGACUUCUAUCACCGGUGGUUUGAUGCUAUCUUUGUGGCCAGUGCUUUCCUUUCUCUGCUCUUGCUUUCUGCACAUUAUACUUCUCGGCAGGCUGACAAACACCCGAUCGAUUAAUGUAAUUUAAUGCCAAACUUUCAACCAAAGGAUGAGAGUAGAUUACAUGUGAGGAUUCCAUUAUGAAGUUCCCUGCAAAUUCUUAAUGAAGUUCCCAGAAGGAUCUCAAUAUCUUAUGUCUCGUGGUAGCCUGCUCCCUUGCAAACUUCCAAUAAGGAUUAGCCAGAAGAGUUUGGCACUUGUGAAUGAAAAGCAACAAUAUCCAGCAGCUUUGGUCAACCUUACUGUUUACAACUGUGAGCCAGGUGGAGAUGAGGAAGAAAGCCAAUAGUGUUUUUGGGGUUGGAAAGGGAAUCCAAGUUGUCCAACACAGUAGUGCUGUUAACUUAGCUUACAGUGAUUGUAACGAUGGAUGGUCACACAUAGCAGUGGUGAACUUCCACAGCGGUUGGUGGUGCUUGUUACCAGAAGUCUUUUACAGUGAUAUAAUGCAGCCUAGCUGGCUUACAAAACCUGAAUGGUUUCCGACAGAGGGUCCUGGAGGAAGAAGACUGAGAGCAGUGUGGUGUUAAAUCUGCAAACCAUAAAAUGUUGCUCAUCAAGACUCAAUUGUACAGGAAUUAUUAGGUGAAUCCAAUAUGCCAGCUACUUUGUCAAAAGGAAAAAAAAGAAAAGAAACUAUACUAAAAGAGAAGAGUUUGCUUGCCAUGUUUGGAUUCUCAGCCUGUCCAUCUCUCAGCUCGGAACUCUUUAUGGGCUCUGGAUUUAGCCACCUUUUAAGACUUUUUCCUCCUGUAUGGCUCUAUUGCGGUUUCAACUAAUAUCUCUUCAUGAGGGUGUAAUAUUUUCCUCGCAUCUCAAAGAAAUUUCAUGAAGCGAUACGAGUUGGCAUAAACAAUGUUGUGGAGAUACUUCAAUAAUGUCAUUGUUUCUUUCCUUUUCAUUUCA